rnacentral:rRNA from 1 species
GACGAACGCUGGCGGCGUGCUUAACACAUGCAAGUCGAGCGGUAAGGCCCUUUCGGGGGUACACGAGCGGCGAACGGGUGAGUAACACGUGGGUGACCUGCCUUUAGCUCUGGGAUAAGCCUGGGAAACUGGGUCUAAUACCGGAUAUGACUCCAUGAUGCAUGUUGUGGGGUGGAAAGCCUUGUGCGGCUGGAGAUGGGCCCGCGGCCUAUCAGCUUGUUGGUGGGGUGANGGCCUACCAAGGCGACGACGGGUAGCCGGCCUGAGAGGGCGACCGGCCACACUGGGACUGAGACACGGCCCAGACUCCUACGGGAGGCAGCAGUGGGGAAUCUUGCGCAAUGGGCGAAAGCCUGACGCAGCG